GGGAACCUUCCUAAAGAUAUCAGUGUCGAGCGGAUCUUGAGGAGCUUGCUCCUGAUGGUUAGCGGCGGACGGGUGAGUAACACGUGGGCAACCUGCCUGUAAGACUGGGAUAACUUCGGGAAACCGGAGCUAAUACCGGAUAAUCCUUUCCCUCUCAUGAGGGAAAGCUGAAAGUCGGUUUCGGCUGACACUUACAGAUGGGCCCGCGGCGCAUUAGCUAGUUGGUGAGGUAACGGCUCACCAAGGCGACGAUGCGUAGCCGACCUGAGAGGGUGAUCGGCCACACUGGGACUGAGACACGGCCCAGACUCCUACGGGAGGCAGCAGUAGGGAAUCUUCCGCAAUGGACGAAAGUCUGACGGAGCAACGCCGCGUGAGCGAUGAAGGCCUUCGGGUCGUAAAGCUCUGUUGUUAGGGAAGAACAAGUAUCGGAGUAACUGCCGGUACCUUGACGGUACCUAACCAGAAAGCCACGGCUAACUACGUGCCAGCAGCCGCGGUAAUACGUAGGUGGCAAGCGUUGUCCGGAAUUAUUGGGCGUAAAGCGCGCGCAGGCGGUCCUUUAAGUCUGAUGUGAAAGCCCACGGCUCAACCGUGGAGGGUCAUUGGAACUGGGGGACUUGAGUGCAGAAGAGGAAA
rnacentral:rRNA from 1 species